ensembl:misc_RNA Metazoa_SRP Metazoan signal recognition particle RNA
ACUUCUUAUGUUCCGUAAAUAAGUGAAUGGUUGGGUGUCCGCACUAAGUUCGGCAUCAAUAUGGUGACCUCCCGGGAGCGGAGGACCGCCAGGUUGCCUAAGGAGCGGCGAACUGGCCCAGGUCGGAAACGGAGCAGGUCAAAACUCCCGUGCUGAUCAGAACUCGUACACCUUCUACCAAGCACUU